rnacentral:rRNA from 1 species
UACGAAGGGUGCAAGCGUUAAUCGGGAUUACUGGGCGUAAAGCGCGCGUAGGUGGUUCAGUAAGUUGGAAGUGAAAUCCCCGGGCUCAACCUGGGAACUGCUUUCAAAACUGCUGAGCUAGAGUACGGUAGAGGGUGGUGGAAUUUCCUGUGUAGCGGUGAAAUGCGUAGAUAUAGGAAGGAACACCAGUGGCGAAGGCGACCACCUGGACUGAUACUGACACUGAGGUGCGAAAGCGUGGGGAGCAAACAGG